ncrna:unclassified sequences SAM-I/IV variant riboswitch
AUCCUGUAUGUAGAGUGCCUCUCGAUAGGGGCCACCAAACCGAGCAACUCCACAAGUAGCCACGGUGGUUAGAAUCGCAAGAUUCCAUAUGUAGGAGACAACCUAAAAAAUGGAGGUGCCCG